rnacentral:rRNA from 1 species
CCUACGGGAGGCUGCAGUGGGGAAUAUUGCACAAUGGGGGAAACCCUGAUGCAGCGACGCCGCGUGAGUGAAGAAGUAUCUCGGUACGUAAAGCCCUAUCAGCAGGGAAGAAAAUGACGGUACCUGACUAAGAAGCCCCGGCUAACUACGUGCCAGCAGCCGCGGUAAUACGUAGGGGGCAAGCGUUAUCCGGAUUUACUGGGUGUAAAGGGAGCGUAGACGGCAGAGCAAGUCUGGGGUGAAAUCCCGUGGCUUAACCCGAGAACUGCUUUGGAAACUGUGCGGCUGGAGUGCAGGAGGGGUAAGCGGAAUUCCUGGUGUAGCGGUAAAAUGCGUAGAGAUUAAGAGGAAUACUGGUGGCGAAGGCGGCUUACUAGACUAUAACUGACGUUGAGGCUCGAAAGCGUGGGGAGCAAACAGGAUUAGAUACCCUGGUAGUC